AUUGAACGCUGGCGGCAGGCCUAACACAUGCAAGUCGAACGAGUGGCGGACGGGUGAGUAAUGUCUGGGACACUGCCUGAUGGAGGGGGAUAACUACUGGAAACGGUAGCUAAUACCGCAUACCAUCAGAUGUGCCCAGAUGGGAUUAGCUAGUUGGUGGGGUAACGGCUCACCAAGGCGACGAUCCCUAGCUGGUCUGAGAGGAUGACCGGCGACACUGGAACUGGGACACGGUCCAGGGUCCUACGGUAGGCAGCAGUGGGGAAUAUUGCACAAUGGGCGCAAGCCUGAUGCAACCAUGCCGCGUGUAUGAAGAAGGCCUUCGGGUUGUAAAGUACUUUCAGCGGGGAGGCGUUACCCGCAGAAGAAGCACCGGCUAACUCCGUGCCAGCCGCCGCGGUAAUUC
rnacentral:rRNA from 1 species